CUCGCACUCACCAGGCAGUACUGGCCAUUCUCUUCUACGGAAAGUAGCUAAGAUAUAUUUCUGCCACCUGUAAGUCAGAAUGACAAAAUUCUUGACAGUGAUAUCACUCAGUCCAACGGAUCUGACGCACUGAAGGCUGGACAUUGGCAGAUAUCAUCUAUGAUGAAAAAGCCUCCCUUGCGAGACGAGAAUCUUCACCAUCUGAAUCAUGAGUGCCGGUGCCCGUCGUCAGUCCCUUCUCUCUCCGUUACUGGACCUGGAUCUGGAUCUCGAUCUGGACACUCAUUACCAGCUUGUGCAUCUCACUGCUGAUAUCAUGAUGCUACUUAACUAUCUUCGCAGCACCCGCUCUAGGAAUGGAGAUCCGGGGUUCCCCCCUCUUCUUCGAUACAGAAUCUGCCUACAGCAUCUACAGCAAUCUACAGCAAAUGUGAGUAUUUGCUUCUAUGUUGAAUUUUAAGUGUCUUUGGGUAAUUGGCUAAAUUUAGGCCAGCAACUUUCAGCUUUAAUUCAAGGGGUUGAACAAAAAUAUCAUAUGAAACGUUUAGGAAUUGCAACCAUUUUUAUACACAGUUCCCUUAUUUAAGGGGCUCAUAUGUAAUUGGACAGAUGAACAUAAUCAUAAAUAAAAUGUUCAUUUUUAAUACUUAGGUCAAGAAUACUUUGCAGGCAAUGACUGCUUGAAGUCUGGAACCCACAGACAUCACCAAAUGCUGGGUUUCCUCCUUUGUGAUGCUUUGCUAGGCCUUUACUGCAGCUGUCUUCAGGUGUUGUAUGUUCGUGGUUCUUUCUGCCUUGAAUUUUGUCUUCAGCAUGUGAAAUGCAUGCUCGAUCGGGUUGAGAUCAGGUGACUGACUUGUCAAUUGCAGAAUGUUCCACUUCUUUGUUUUAAAAAACUCCUGGGUUGCUUU